AUUAAGCAAAAAUGAAAAUUCAAAAGGGAGGGUAAGGUGUAAAAUUGCUUUGAAAGGCAGUCAUCAACAUUCUAAAAAAAAAUCAAAAAGGCAAUAUAGAAAAAUUUGGAAAAAUCAAAGGAGGCAAGAAAUCCUGCUAUCCCUUUAAUUGAGUUUUGUUUCCAUGGAAUUUCCAAUUUCUGAAAGCAAUUAGAAUUUCAUUAACGAGAGAGAUGGCUUAAAUGGUUUCCUUUGAAGUUUGAGUGCUAGUGCUGAUCAAGGAUACUGUUACAUUGGGUUUGACUUAAUUUUAUUAGAUUUUUUCUUCUCUUCUAGUUAUUGGGGUGUUCUGGAUCUUGAUGGUUUAUAACUAAGCAGUUUUGGAUGAAUUGAAUUAGGUUUUGGUUUAUGUUUGAUGUUUGCUGGUGUUACUGGAUGCUAUUUGAGUUCAUUUGGCUUGCUUUGGUGCUGUUUUUUGGGCAAUUUCUCCCCUAUUUUUGGAUAUCUGGGCUAUUGGACUGUUUUCUGGAUUGAAAAUUACUGUUGUUGUUUUAUUACCUCUGCUGCCUGCUGCUGGUACCUGUGUCGUGCUGCUGACCUUUUCUACUCCAUUUCCAUACUGUUUCCAGGUACAUGUUCGAAACUGGCAAGUGUAUUUGUAUGAAUUGAAAAGCUGGAAUGAAAUGCACUCUUAUGAAAUUCGCGUGUUCAAUUGUCAGUAGAUUGGUCGAUGUGUGUAAAUUAAAUUUGAUUUAAAUGGUGUAAUUGGACUGAAUUGGAACUAUUGAUGUAAUAAUUGGACUAUAUGUUCCUGUUAACUCAGAGAUUUAGAAAACUAGUUUCGAAUGGGUGCAUUGAUUUCAAGAUAUGUCUAUUAGUGAUUUCAGAUAGCUCUAGCAUGUUAUAGCUGAUUAUAUGGCUUCAUGGGUCCAAAAGAUUCACACAUUAAUUGCUCCAAAGUUAGCGUAAGUAUAAAUGUGAAGUGGUUAGAAUAACAAUAGCUCAUGUCUGCCAAAUUAUAUUUUUAAAUAUUGAUGGUAUCUUAGCUUGAAUCUGGUAUGAAGUCAAAUGCAAAGAAAU
rnacentral:lncRNA from 1 species